CGCGUAGGCGGCUUGGUAAGUCGGAUGUGAAAACCCGAGGCUCAACCUCGGGCGUGCACCCGAUACUGCCCGGCUAGAGGUAGGUAGGGGAGAUCGGAAUUCCUGGUGUAGCGGUGAAAUGCGCAGAUAUCAGGAGGAACACCGGUGGCGAAGGCGGAUCUCUGGGCCUUACCUGACGCUCAGGCGCGAAAGCUAGGGGAGCGAACA
rnacentral:rRNA from 1 species